UGGGGUGUCGCCAAGUGGUAAGGCUCCGGACUUUGAAUCCGGCAUCGCAGGUUCGAAUCCUUCCACCCCAGCCA
rnacentral:tRNA from 1 species